UUGCGGGGGUGGACAUGUGCUCAAAUCCCCCUUCAAGGAAGAACUUAUUAGCAUAGCUGCUGUGAGAGUUUCAAUGGAACAACCUUCAGCCCCUUCAGGGAAUACCUCAACUACAAAGAGCCACCUCACCAAAGUCAUGCCCUCUUGAGGAUAACUCACAUCUAAUAAUGGCUGGAGGUAGGAGCCAGUCACCACGGGAAAACCUUCACUCUCAGCAUGGACCACUGCAAAUAAGGAGAGGAAGCUGAAGGUAGAAAGAGGGCAGAUGUGAAUGCCAGCUGCCAUGUCACCAGCAUACCUAAGGAAUCCUAUGAAGAGGCCCAUAUGUGAGGAACUGAGCUGUAUCCUGCCAGCAGCCACGAGAGAACCACCUUGGGGGCAGAUCCUGCAGCCCUAGGGGAGCCAUCGGAUGACUGCAGCACCAGCUGACAUCAUGACUGCAGCCUCAGAAGAGAUCCUGUGCCAGAACCACCCAGCUGAGCCACUUUUGCAUUCCUGACUCUCAGAGAA